rnacentral:rRNA from 1 species
UAGAGAGAGACAUGCGCGCAUAUCAAUAAGCGGAGGAAAAGAAACUAACUAGGAUUCCCUCAGUAACGGCGAGUGAAGCGGGAAGAGCUCAAAUUUGAAAUCUUCAAGGUUCUACCUUGACGAAUUGUAGUUUAAAGAAGUGUUUUCUGUUGGAGUUUUGGUAAAAGUUCUUUGGAAUAGGACAUCAUAGAGGGUGAGAAUCCCGUAUUUGACCAUUAUUUCCAGCUUUGUGAUACACUUUCAAAGAGUCGGAUUGUUUGGGAAUGCAGUCCAAAAUGGGUGGUAAAUUUCAUCUAAAGCUAAAUAUUGGCGAGAGACCGAUAGCGAACAAGUACCGUGAGGGAAAGAUGAAAAGAACUUUGAAAAGAGAGUUAAACAGUACGUGAAAUUGUCAAAGAGGGAAGCGUUUGACACCAGUGUUGUUUUCUCGAAAAUCAAUUAAAAAAGGCAGGAUUUUGUGUUGUAUUGACUUUAUCAGCUUUCUGCACUCUUUUCUUGUCUUUUUUAAUGCACUUUUCGUUUAACAAGUCAACAUCAAUUUCUUUUGUUGUAAAAGGGUCAUUGGAAGGUGGCUUUCUUUUCGGAGAAAGUGUUUAUAGCCUUUGGCCUCUGCAAUCGGAGAGAUUGAGGUCUGCAGCGUAGAUCCUUCGGGGUUAGAUACAUUUGUGCUAAGUUAUAGCCUUUCAUAGACAACUUGUUGACUAUGAUCAGUCAUGUAGCUUACUCGCUUAUGCUAUUUUACCUACGCUUAGGAUGUUGAUGUGAUACUGCGAGCA